rnacentral:lncRNA from 1 species
UGAUGGGAGAGGCAUGAUAUAUUGGGGCGAAGGGGCGGCACGGACAGAGUUUCAUCCUUGUUGCCCCGGCUGGAGUUCAAUGGUGCAAUCUCAGCUCACUGCAACUCCCCUGAUCUCAGGCCAUCCGCCCACCUCAGCCUCCCAAAGUGCUGGGAUUACAGGCAUGAGCCACCACGCCCGGCCUCUGCUUUCUUUCUCUGUGAUUUGACUAUUCCAGAUCCCUCAUCUGGGAGUUAAAAAAAAUUCUGCCGUAGCCUACCGCCUCAUGACUUUGAGUCUGUCUGUAUUACACCAAGACAACAUAGAAGUUAUGAGACUACAGAAUCCUGGCGAGGAACCUAUUCCUAUAUUUACCUCCAUCUCUCUGGUACCUGGCCUAAGUCUACACAGUAGAUUUAUCCUGAAAUCUGCUCCAGGAGUUCUGUACAUCUCAUGUUGCAGGGCUGCGGUGCUGUGAAGAUUUCGGCAUCCUGCACUCAUGGCCAUGUUUAGUCUAUGGUCACAUUGACACUAGAGAGUUUCAGGGACCAGUGCAGUAUGCCCAGGUCUGACAUGGGCUUCCAAAAUGUAUGUGAACAGAGUAAGAAUGAUACUUUUUUGCUUUUCAAAAUAUUUCACAGCUUAGGUGGCACUUACCCUUAUCCCUUCUUUUCUGUCUUUACUGAUAAAUACUCAUCACCUUAGAUUAUUUUAACAUCUAACAACUUUCAGUUGCAAUUAGAAAAUAUCUUUAGACAUGUUAAUUAUAAAAAUAUUCUUCAUUUAUGAAAUUGAUUACGCCUAGUGACUUCAUUCACCAAUUGUCUCAAAAUCUUGCCUUUAAACUACCCUCAGGAGGAAUCUCCAUGUUCACAAAAGAAAAGAGGGCAAAGGCCAGGCACAGUGGCUCACACCUAUAAUCCCAGCACUUUGAGAGGCUGAGGUGGGAGGAUUGCUUGAACCUAGGAGUUCCAGACCAGCGUGGGCAACAUGAUGAAACCCCGUCUC